rnacentral:lncRNA from 1 species
AACAAAUUCCACUCCUUGGAGUCUGAAUCUCAUCUGUAGUUUUAAAACUAACCAGCCUAAAAAUCCUCAUCAUAAGCCGUUUUAAAAUUAAGCAGCCUAAAAAUCCUCAUCAAAAGGACUCUCUGGGCUUUAUGGUCCUCAGGUUUGGCUCAUAAUAAACUCACCCCAAAUUUGAUUUAUAGAUUGGUUAUGGAUUCUUUGUGUGAACAGCUGGAUUAUUUUAGGGAAGUCUAUUCUCCCAUCCAUCAGCACAUAGGUGUUAGGUGUUUACAUCAGAAGAUGUUGCUUUUCAGGGGGUGACACCUUGGGUAUGCCUACAGUCACCCUGGGAUGAUGGUGGUUGUGACAAGUCUCUCUUUGCCUAUUUCCCUGUCCACACUCAGCUGUUAAAUCACUAUUUGUGGGCUGAUUGGUCUCUUGUUUUCAACAAUGCUCUAGGGUGUAAAUUGCUCCAGACAAAAAUCCAACCAAAUUUGGGUUCCAUUGAAGAGAUCCAUCAGAGAGAUCAGGCAAUCAUCAUUCCACGACCUUGAAGUUUACAAUGGCAAACUG